GACUGGAGAAAAGAAACAGACUCGAGCGGCAAGCAGGUAUACCAUCUGAUAAAUGAAGUGAGUAAGCAGAGAGCCUACCAGGCCAUCAGUAGUAAAUCCACAAAAGGUUAAUGAAGCCUGAAACUACCGUCAUUUUUGUGCAAUGGCCUCUCUGCAACCUCUUUGAAGGAGACACCUCUGUGGUGUGAGCUGAGGAGAAAUGUAGCAACACACUUCCAAGGGAAACAAGCUGCAGCUGGGCAGUAGAGGAAUUAAUGUGGAAUCCUUUUUCCUUCAGAGGAGUAAAAGGCAGCUCUGGGAAGGAUAGACAAGUAGUCCACAGGCUAGUUCCUGGGAUGCUUGUGCUUCAGAGUUACACCGGAGAGGUGAGUCAAUGAGAAAACCUGAAUGCUAAAUGGCAUUUCGAGAAUUAAGCCUUAUAUGUGGACUUGAUCUGAAUGAGAAGAACAGGACGUGCAGUCGGUGUUUUACGCAGACACCCAAGACUCUGCUUGCUGUUCCUGUCCCCUGUCAAUAGUAUUUCUGCAAACCUGGUCACUGCGUGGGACAUGUGCUUCUGUAGACCAGCAGUCUAAAAUUAAAAGUAGUUCAUUUGUCUGAAGCAGCAGCCGAAACAGAAAUAUAAGAUAAGACUUGAUUUUUUGGAAAAUAGUUGGCGAAUUUGGUAAUCCACCCACUUGUGUGUUGUAAUGGUCUGAUAACUUGCGGGGAAGCUCACACAUCUGGAUCCCAGCCCUGAUACAACACCACUGAAUUAGGUAAAUGAAAGUUUGCUUAAGUCGAUAUAGUGGCUGGAGCUAAGUGACAAUAUUCAGAUGAAAUAAAAGAACCUUCA